rnacentral:rRNA from 1 species
CCGUUCCGCUUCAGCUCCUCUCACCAGCGCGCCCGAGCUCCUCCUCUCCCUGCCUUAGGAACCAAGUCUUGUGCCUGUGCUAAAAUUUCAGAUUCCAAUUAAUAGUCCCACCUGCUCUAUUACAUAAAAUCCAACCAACUUAUUUCAUGCAUUACAAGAUCAACAAGCCAACAAAAAGCGGAUGUGAUGUUCAUGUUUACCCUAGAGAAAUCAAGAAAGCUGCCUGCCGCAUCUACUAUAUGUGUCACCAAUUGAAAAUGAGCAAAGAGGAGAUGCACAUGAAUCCAAAGAAAAGCACCAUCGGUGCCAAGCCUAAUAGAAAGAAAUGUCUUAGCUUAAUUGCCAUUUGAGCUAAUAAUCCUAAAGAAGGAGAGAGAGCCGAACUAAAGAUACAGAGAAAAUUGAUGCCCAUUGCUGGUACAGAGACCAGCUCAUGGAAGAGAAAACCGGGGCCCAGGGGCUUUCACCGGAGGCAACUUCGGCACUCCCACAUCCGUGGACACAUGCAGACGAGCACCACCACCAGACCGUCCCCCGCGCGUGCUGGCCAGCCGCCAGAUCUGGCGCAACCGAGCCACUGCACACCUGCCUCGCAACCUCGGUUGCCCCCAGCCACCCUCCGGGAGGAGGGGCUCCAUCACCACUUCAAGGAAGGGGGCUCCGCCCCGGCCCCAGUGCGCCGACGAGCAGGCCACCAACACCCCAGCCGUAGCCAGAAAGCACGCCGACACUGUCAGCUGGGAUGUGGCUCAGGCCAGCCACCGCGGCCAAGAAUAGGAAAGCAACACUUGGGUGGUGAGGCGGAUGGAGAAGAGGAGAAGAGGAGGAGGAGCAACGAUGGGUGGUCAGGCAGCAGGAGGAAGAUGGAGGCGGAGCGGCGCUUGGGUGAUGA